UUUAACUGAGCGUUCAGUUACUUGACGUAGACCCGAAACCGGGCGACCUACCCAUGAGCAGGAUGAAGCGAAAGUAAAAUUUCGUGGAGGUCCGAACCCACGAGCGUUGAAAAGCUCGGGGAUGACUUGUGGGUAGCGGUGAAAUUCCAAUCGAGCCCGGAGAUAGCUGGUUCUCCCCGAAAUAGCUUUAGGGCUAGCCUCAAGGUGAGAGAUACGGAGGUAGAGCACUGAAUGUCCUAGGGGGUAUUGCACCUACCGAAGACUAUCAAACUCCGAAUGCCGUCAUCUUAUACUUGGGAGUCAGACUGUGGGUGAUAAGAUUCAUAGUCGAAAGGGCAACAGCCCAGAUCGUCAGCUAAGGUCCCUAAAUGUAAGUUAAGUGGUAAAGGAUGUGGGAUUGCACAGACAACCAGGAUGUUGGCUUAGAAGCAGCCACUCAUUCAAAGAGUGCGUAAUAGCUCACUGGUCGAGUGAUCCUGCGCCGAAGAUUUCCGGGGCUAAAACUUACUACCGAAGCUACGGCAUCAGUAAUGAUGGGUAGGGGAGCUUCCCAUACGGGUUGAAGCAUGACCGUAAGGACAUGUGGACAGUAUGGGAGUGAGAAUGUUGGCAUGAGUAGCGAGAUGUGGGUGAGAAUCCCACAGGCCGUAAACCCAAGGUUUCCAGGGGAAGGUUCGUCCGCCCUGGGUUAGUCGGGACCUAAGCUGAGGCCGAAAGGCGUAGGUGAUGGACAACAGGUUGAUAUUCCUGUACUACCGAUAACCGUUUGAGAGAAGGGAUGACACAGUAGGAUAAGCUAAGCACACUGUUGGUUAUGUGUGCCCAAGCAUUGAGGCAGUCAAAGCAGGCAAAUCCGCUUUGAUAAUGCUGGGAUGUGAUGGGGAGCGAAAUUUAGUAGCGAAGUAGCUGAUUUCACACUGUCAAGAAAAGUCUCUAUCGAGGUUAAAGGUACCCGUACCGCAAACCGACACAGGUGGGUGAGGAGAGUAUCCUAAGGCCAGCGAGAGAACUGUUGUUAAGGAACUCGGCAAAAUGACCCCGUAACUUAGGGAUAAGGGGUGCCACCAUCCGGUGGCCGCAGAGAAUAGGCCCAAGCGACUGUUUACCAAAAACAUAGGUUUCUGCUAAGUCGCAAGACGAUGUAUAGGAGCUGACGCCUGCCCGGUGCUGGAA
rnacentral:rRNA from 1 species